rnacentral:rRNA from 1 species
CAAGGGUGAGCAAUGCAUAGAUUACCUACCUUUAGGAUAAGGACAACUAAGUGAAAACGGAGCUAAUACUUAAUAAUACGAAAGAAAUAAUUUUCUUUUGUCAAAGGGAGGGUAGCAAUACCUUUUGCCUAGAGAGGGGUUUAUGUCCUAUCAGCUUGUUGGUGGGGUAAUGGCCUACCAAGGCGAAGACGGGUAGCCGGUUUAAGAGGAUGGUCGGCCACACUGGGACUAAAACACUACCCAGACUUCUACGGAAGGCUGCAGUCGAGAAUCUUUCGCAAUGCCCGAAAGGGUGACGAAGCGACGCCGCGUGGGUGAGGAAGGCCUUCGGGUUGUAAAACCCUGUCAGGAGUUAUGAAAUGUAAGUGCGCUAAUAUCGUGCUUAUUUGACAAAGGCUCCAAAGGAAGCCACGGCUAACUCUGUGCCAGCAGCCGCGGUAAUACAGAGGUGGCGAGCGUUGUUCGGAAUUAUUGGGCGUAAAGAGCACGUAGGUGGGUUUGCAAGUCAGAUGUGAAAGCCUUCUGUUCAACGGAAGAAUUGCAUCUGAAACUGCUAAUCUUGAGUAUAGGAGGGGAGAAUGGAACUUCUGGUGGAGCGGUGAAAUGCGUAGAUAUCAGAAGGAACGCCGGCGGCGAAAGCGAUUCUCUGGCCUAUUACUGACACUCAGUGUGCGAAAGCUAGGGGAGCAAACGGGAUUAGAUACCCCGGUAGUCCUAGCUGUAAACGAUGGGCACUAAGUAGAGGGGUUU